rnacentral:rRNA from 1 species
UACGGAGGGUGCGAGCGUUGUCCGGAGUCAUUGGGCGUAAAGGGCGCGUAGGUGGCCCGCCAAGCGUGCGGUGAAAGCGCGGGGCUCAACCCCGCGUCGGCCGUGCGAACUGGUGUGCUCGAGCACUGUAGAGGCAGGCGGAAUUCCGGGUGUAGCGGUGGAAUGCGUAGAGAUCCGGAAGAACACCGGUGGCGAAGGCGGCCUGCUGGGCAGUAGCUGACACUGAGGCGCGACAGCGUGGGGAGCAAACAGG